rnacentral:rRNA from 1 species
CCUACGGGCGGCAGCAGUGAGGAAUAUUGGUCAAUGGACGCAAGUCUGAACCAGCCAUGCCGCGUGCAGGAAGACGGCUCUAUGAGUUGUAAACUGCUUUUGUACGAGGGUAAACGCCGAUACGCGUAUCUGUCUGAGCGGAUCGUACGAAUAAGGAUCGGCCAACUCCGUGCCAGCAGCCGCGGUAAUCCGGAGGAUGCGAGCGUUAUCCGGAUUUAUUGGGGUUAAAGGGUGCGCAGGCGGAAGGUAAAGUCAGCGGUGAAAUUGGGCGGCUCAACCUCUUCGAGCCGUUGAAACUGGUGGGCUGGAGUGAGUGAGAGGUAGGCGGAAUGCGUGGUGUAGCGGUGAAAUGCAUAGAUAUCACGCAGAACUCCGAUUGCGAAGGCAGCAUACCGGAGCUCAACUGACGCUCAUGCACGAAAGUGUGGGUAGCGAACAGGAUUAGAUACCCCAGUAGUC